UUCCACUGUGACAGUUUCUGCAGCCUCCUU
rnacentral:piRNA from 1 species